GUGGGGAAUAUUGGACAAUGGGCGAAAGCCUGAUCCAGCCAUGCCGCGUGUGUGAAGAAGGUCUUCGGAUUGUAAAGCACUUUAAGUUGGGAGGAAGGGCAGUAAGUUAAUAUCUUGCUGUUUUGACGUUACCGACAGAAUAAGCACCGGCUAACUUCGUGCCAGCAGCCGCGGUAAUACGAAGGGUGCAAGCGUUAAUCGGAAUUACUGGGCGUAAAGCGCGCGUAGGUGGUUUUGUAAGUUGGAGGUGAAAUACCCGGGCUCAACCUGGGAACUGCCUCGAAAACUGCAUGACUAGAGUACGGUAGAGGGUAGUGGAAUUUCCUGUGUAGCGGUGAAAUGCGUAGAUAUAGGAAGGAACACCAGUGGCGAAGGCGACUACCUGGACUGAUACUGACACUGAGGUGCGAAAGCGUGGGGAGCAAACAGGAUUAGAAACCCGUGUAGUCC
rnacentral:rRNA from 1 species